UACGUAGGGUGCGAGCGUUAAUCGGAAUUACUGGGCGUAAAGCGUGCGCAGGCGGUGAUGUAAGACAGAUGUGAAAUCCCCGGGCUUAACCUGGGAAUGGCGAUGGUGACUGCAAGGCUAGAGUUUGGCAGAGGGGGGUAGAAUUCCACGUGUAGCAGUGAAAUGCGUAGAGAUGUGGAGGAACACCGAUGGCGAAGGCAGCCCCCUGGGUCAAAACUGACGCUCAUGCACGAAAGCGUGGGGAGCAAACAGG
rnacentral:rRNA from 1 species